AUACGGAGGGUGCAAGCGUUAAUCGGAAUUACUGGGCGUAAAGCGCGCGUAGGCGGAUUGUUAAGCCUCAUGUGAAAGCCCUGGGCUCAACCUGGGAACUGCAUGGGAUACUGGCAAUCUCGAAUACAGUAGAGGGUAGUGGAAUUUCAGGCGUAGCGGUGAAAUGCGUAGAGAUCUGAAGGAACAUCAGUGGCGAAGGCGACUACCUGGACUGAUAUUGACGCUGAGGUGCGAAAGCGUGGGGAGCAAACGGGAUUAGAAACCCCAGUAGUCC
rnacentral:rRNA from 1 species